GCCUCGGCGGUGUAGUGGUAGAGCACGCGUCCCCGGAUAGGAUGAAACGAGGGUUUGAUUCCCGCUUGAAGCU